UCGAUGAAGAACGCAGCGAAAUGCGAUAAGUAAUGUGAAUUGCAGAAUUCAGUGAAUCAUCGAAUCUUUGAACGCACAUUGCGCCCCUUGGUAUUCCGAGGGGCAUGCCUGUUCGAGCGUCAUUAUAACCACUCAAGCUUUGGCUUGGUAUUGGGGUUUCGCGGUUCCGCGGCCCUUAAAAUCAGUGGCGGUGCCGUCUGGCUCUAAGCGUAGUAAUUCUCUCGCUAUAGGGUCCCGGCGGUGGCUUGCCAGAACCCCCUUAUUUUUCUACGGUUGACCUCGGAUCAGGUAGGGAUACCCGCUGAACUUAA
rnacentral:rRNA from 1 species